rnacentral:rRNA from 1 species
ACUUGCCUUUGCGAGGGGGAUAACAGUUGGAAACGACUGCUAAUACCGCAUAAUGUCUUCGGACCAAACGGGGCUUCGGCUCCGGCGCAAAGAGAGGCCCAAGUGAGAUUAGCUAGUUGGUGAGGUAAGAGCUCACCAAGGCGACGAUCUCUAGCUGUUCUGAGAGGAAGAUCAGCCACACUGGGACUGAGACACGGCCCAGACUCCUACGGGAGGCAGCAGUGGGGAAUAUUGCACAAUGGGGGAAACCCUGAUGCAGCCAUGCCGCGUGUGUGAAGAAGGCCUUCGGGUUGUAAAGCACUUUCAGUUGUGAGGAAAAGUUAGUAGUUAAUACCUGCUAGCCGUGACGUUAACAACAGAAGAAGCACCGGCUAACUCCGUGCCAGCAGCCGCGGUAAUACGGAGGGUGCGAGCGUUAAUCGGAAUUACUGGGCGUAAAGCGCACGCAGGCGGUUUGUUAAGCUAGAUGUGAAAGCCCCGAGCUCAACUUGGGAUGGUCAUUUAGAACUGGCAGACUAGAGUCUUGGAGAGGGGAGUGGAAUUCCAGGUGUAGCGGUGAAAUGCGUAGAUAUCUGGAGGAACAUCAGUGGCGAAGCGACUCCCUGGCCAAAGACUAACGCUCAUGUGCGAAAGUGUGGGUAGCGAACAG